UUCGGGGGGAGCAAGCGUUGUUCGGAUUUACUGGGCGUAAAGGGCGCGUAGGCGGCCACCGCAAGUCACAUGUGAAAUCUCCGGGCUUAACCCGGAAAGGUCAACUGAUACUGCGGGGCUAGAGUGCAGAAGGGGCAACUGGAAUUCUCGGUGUAGCGGUGAAAUGCGUAGAUAUCGAGAGGAACACCUGCGGCGAAGGCGGGUUGCUGGGCUGACACUGACGCUGAUGUGCGAAAGCUAGGGGAGCGAACGGG
rnacentral:rRNA from 1 species